GUGGGGAAUCUUGUGCAAUGGGCGAAAGCCUGACGCAGCCAUGCCGCGUGAAUGAUGAAGGUCUUAGGAUUGUAAAAUUCUUUCACCGGGGACGAUAAUGACGGUACCCGGAGAAGAAGCCCCGGCUAACUUCGUGCCAGCAGCCGCGGUAAUACGAAGGGGGCUAGCGUUGCUCGGAAUUACUGGGCGUAAAGGGCGCGUAGGCGGACAGUUUAGUCAGAGGUGAAAGCCCAGGGCUCAACCUUGGAAUUGCCUUUGAUACUGGCUGUCUUGAGUACGGGAGAGGUGAGUGGAACUCCGAGUGUAGAGGUGAAAUUCGUAGAUAUUCGGAAGAACACCAGUGGCGAAGGCGACUCACUGGCCCGUUACUGACGCUGAGGCGCGAAAGCGUGGGGAGCAAACAGGAUUAGAAACCCCUGUAGUCC
rnacentral:rRNA from 1 species